rnacentral:rRNA from 1 species
GACGAACGCUGACGGCGUGCUUAACACAUGCAAGUCGAACGGAAAGGCCUGCUUUCCCUUGUGGAUUGCGGGUACUCGAGUGGCGAACGGGUGAGUAACACGUGAGUGAUCUGCCCCCAACUUGGGUAUAAGCCUGGGAAACUGGGUCUAAUUCCCGAUAGGACUGCAGGGUGGUGCCUGUGGUGGAAAACGAUUUUCUAGUGGUUGGGGAUGAGCUCGCGGCCUAUCAGCUUGUUGGUGGGGUAAUGGCCUACCAAGGCGGCGACGGGUAGCCGGCCUGAGAGGGUGGACGGCCACAUUGGGACUGAGAUACGGCCCAGACUCCUACGGGAGGCAGCAGUGGGGAAUAUUGCACAAUGGGCGGAAGCCUGAUGCAGCGACGCCGCGUGGGGGAUGACGGCCUUCGGGUUGUAAACUCCUUUCGACCGCGAGGAAGCCACCUGGUUGGAAGGGUGGUGACGGUAGUGGUAGAAGAAGCACCGGCUAACUACGUG